rnacentral:lncRNA from 1 species
UGGUUGUCCCAUGUUGCGCUUCGGGAAGGCUCUGCAAAAGGUUGAGACAGAUGACCCAACACAGAUGUUGAAUCAGAUAUUUCUGCAGGUCCCGGGACAGAAGGCGUUUUGGGACAGCUGGAGUCUGAGGACCACUGCCCGCCCAAGCACGUUUCCGGAGAGCCUGCACCCGGAAUAGAAGACUCAAGUGUAUUGAGUGAGAGAUCAUGCUGAUCGGCGGCAGGAGAAGAAGGCGUCGGUGACGUGCAGGGAGAAGAAUCAGGAGUCGCGCGCGCGCGCUGAACACGCGUCUCUUUCUCCGCGGCCUCUCGCUCUCCAUGUAGGGUUAGUGGGUCUUCAUUUCCUCGCCUUAUUCUCCCCCGACUCUGUGUGCUUUCACUGCCUUGUUCGUCUCUGGACCUGCUCGCCAAUGAACGACUGCCCUCGUCUGCGUUUCCUGUUGUCCACUCGUCUGUUUCUUUCAGAAUCCUUUUUUCCUUUUCUUCUCUGGUGUCCACGCUGCCGCAACCACACGGCUCUGGCGAUCUCGUCUCAGACGGCGUCUCUUCGUGGAAGACUGGGUGCUUUGCCGUUUCCUCGGCUGCGUCUCCGUGUGAGAGUGGAAAAGGUGAAAGCCUCACUGAGGCGGGAUGGGCGACAGAGCCUUGGCCUUCUGCACAGGAGAACGGGCUUCCUGCCUCUGGAUCGAUUCCCUGCUCAGUCGCAUCUCCCUCCGAGAUCCGCACAGCGACAGAUCCGCCUUCGCUAUUCCGAGAUUCAGCGCGGCUUCCUGGUGGGAUAUCGACCUCGCGCUUUCUGUCUACCUCAGCUUCUGAUGUCUCUCGGGAAUGUGACAACGUAAGUGAGAACGCUGCGAGAGGGGCAACCGUCUCGUCAGGCACCCUCGCAGCCAACGUGUCAAUUUUCGUCUCUUCGAGAGACAGAAGGGUGGCCUCUGAUUGGUUUGCCUGCGGAUAGCCUUCUCUGCCCGUGUCUCGGGCCUUUUGCAGCCGCUGAGGGAGGUUUAGCGGUCUGGGAUUCGGAGUCCUGAUUGCUCUUGGAGGCAGUGGGAGGAAGCCCAAGUUGGGCGGCCUUCGAGCAGGAGCGAAUCCAGGAGCCGGACUGGAGGAAGGCCUUUGGACAUCAAGACGGGAAGCGGUGGGGCAACUUGGAGACUCGAAGGGUCCUCUUGAUCCUGCUGAGAACGGAGGUCUUAAUGGAGGCAUGGGUCGUUCCAACACCUCGCUCUGGAAUCUUUCGGAGGCCCGUGGGAACCCUGCAACCGGUAUUUCUAUGUCGUAUCUUUUCGGAGAUUCUUCGAGGCGCCUUCCUGGCUCUUCUUCUACGGCACGUGUCGUGUAUGCGGCCUCCGUUUCGUUUGCAACGUCGCUGGGCUUUUGGGGACUCUUCUCUCUUCUAUCGUCAUCUCGAUGCUUGUUCGCGGAUGUGCCCACUUUGUUAAUUUCCUCCUGAUCCGUCACGGGGAUAUCAACCUCCAGGGCUCGAGGAACGAAAGCCCGGAGAUCAGAGAUGUCACCGUGACUGCUCGAGCAGAGAGCGAGGUUCUCAGACAAAUGGUGUAUUUUUGCCACCUCAUCUUCACCCCCGUAGGAAUUGAGGGCAGACGCUCCGGCACUGCUGACCCGGCUCCGGUCGCCGCACUGCACGAGAUCGGGUGGCCACACGCCUGGAUGCCACGCUGUUGGGGUCAUUGGGCGACUUUCACCCCUUCGUGCAGAAGCAUCUGGCAACUUUGUCGCCUCUGCGGGGACCGAACAUUUCUCGUUUGUCCGUGACUCCUCUGACGUUUGAUCGAGAAGGGACGGCGACAAAGCAUCCCUAGAAGCGUAGGCGUGCACUGAAGCUUCGACGCUCUCAGAUACAGCGUUUGUUUCGCUCAGAUGACUUUCGGAGCUUCUUUCAAACCCGGCUUCUACACAGGGUUCCCCGGCCUCGUCAACGUCUGAGGAGAAUGGAAUCUCUGGGAGCGGUGUAGAUCGCGGAGAUGGAGGGAGAGGAGUCUGCUGAGAAGACCCGAUAGAGUUUCCGUCGAUUUCUUCUCCACGGUUUGCAUGUGCCGAGGAAGGCCACAACAGCUGCAAGUCCGCUGCGGUCGGUGUUUCUUCUACUGGAGUUGGAGAAAGUUGCUGCAAUCUUGAAGCCUCAGGCGCGUGUGGCGAGUCAUCUGGGGGCGCUCUGUCGCGGGGGUCUGCCUCCUGAUAGGGGUUGUCAGUUGGACUGUCCCCGCAUUCUUGGAUCAGGCUCUGGGUGGGGUCAAAGAGAUCUGGAAGCUUCUCUGCUGAAGCCUCGGGGGUACGACCAGGAGCGUUUCGCAAUUCCUUCGGCGAAACGUCGGAAGAAGCGUGUUCUUCUGUUCCAGAGGCUGCCGGCAUCAACGGCAUCUCAGUCUGUCGUUCAUUGUCUUUUUCGUCAGACGCACUCUCCCCACUUGCACGCUUCUUUUCACUUGUGCGUCCCGUCUGUCCUCGGCUCACACUCUCAGACGGUUCCGCGUCGUCUUCGAGUGCAGUCCUUUCUUCUCUCUCGUAUCCCUUCUCCGAGUUGACAUCGUGAAUGCCUCCGUCCUGGACUUUUGAACUGUCCCCAAGACUUUCUCUUGCAUAUCUGCUGUCCAGUGUGUCAUUGCCUUCGUUCUUGUGUCCAUCGGUCACGCACAGCAUCACUGCUUCCUCUCGUGAACAACCAAAAAUAGUGCGCAAAGAUGCUUCAUCUCUUUCUUCAUCUCCUUUUCCUUCCAGUUCGUGAUCCGCAGCUCCUCCGCCUGACGCAUUCGCAUCUGACUUCCCGUCUAAGUCCCGUUGCUGCUGUUCUUCUUCGUCUUCUCUUUCGAACGGAGACAAACUUCCUUCGCCUCGCGUUCCGUUUUCUUUUCCUUCCAUCUCCUUGUCCUCUCUCUGCGUUUCCUUCUUUCUUGUGUCCUCCCUAGCAUCUUCCAAACCUGCGCAUGCCCCCUGCGUGUUGACCAUCCGUGCCGCGGCGGUGUCUUCCUGCAGCGCGCUCGCUGUCCCCGGUUCGCGCGCCUGCAUUCGAGUAGCCUCGCCGCUUCGCUCCUCGACGUUCGACGGCAUUGUACGCAGUGUUGGCCCGGAAACCCGUUUUCUGAAGCAGCGGACUCGGCUUCCGUUUUCACGCGGCAUUUCCGUUUUUCUGCGCACGUGUGUCGCGCCCGAGGCUCCCAGCUUCUGUGGGGCUUCCUGAGUCUCACUGGCAACGCCAUCAGCCGCUCCCGUGGCUUGUUCGCCGGCUCGCUUCUUGGACAGCUGCACAAACACUUUCUCCUUUCCUCGCGAAUGACGGAGAAGCAGACCUCUCUGGGAGCUGGCGUAGGUGCUGCCACUCCGUGGCGCGCGACGAGACCCUCGUGGGCCACCGCCUGGAGUCGAAGGCGCCGCCGACAUUCCUGCAUCCCUGACUUCUCCGUCGUUGCUUCUGUCUUGGCGUCCAUCUUGACGGGCGCAGUUGUCUGGUGUUUGCAAGAAGCCGACGCUGCCCCCGUUCGAGCUACCCCCGUCUGCCGAAAGGACUGGACUCUGCAGCGAAAACGAGCUGGCACGCGAUUGAAGAGAAACGGCGCCCGGCUGCAAGGCUUUGUAGGCUGCACGAAAGAGCAAGAGUCGAGACAAAUCACUGAGAAUCCUGGAUGGGGUGGAAGAGAAGCAUGGGACGGGGCAUUGACAGGACAGCGAUAAAGGAAAUUGUUUAAACGAGCACAGGCCUAAUGCGUGGCCACAGCGCACCGAGUGCAGAGCGACGGGGAACACAGCGACUGCAAAAUAGAGUGCUUCAACAAAACAGCGAGAUUCAUGCAUAGGGAUGUCGAGGGUCACAUGCGCGGUGCAGACACGAAAUUAGAGUUCCGGAGGCAUGAAAAAGAAACCAACGAGUUGCGAGCUGUUUCAUUAGGUUUUGUUCCGUUAAUAGACCCCUGUCACCCCCAGAGACGAGACUGCCUCGCGUUUAACUCGAAGUCUGGUGCAGCUGUGUUACGUCCUAGUUACCAAAACAGUGUUCUUGCCGUUUCCUGGUUUCUUCGCUUUCACUGUGUUCCGUAAGCAGCAGGCUGCUGUCUGUACGUCGUCGUGUGCAACUGCUCACAAGACCUACCUGCAUUAUCGAGUACAGGGGUGGCCAACAGACACAAUUUCUCGGAGAGACACAGAGUGCCAGAGCCAUCACCCCUCUUCUUUCUUUGUUUGUUCAGUACAUGAAUCGUCCGCUCCCGUAGUUCGCCGAUACUCAAAGGCCUGUCUGCGAUCCACGCAUCGCCACCAGGCCUAUCAGUCCCUAUCCCCCACUCAUCGUCGUCUUCGCUGUCGCCUCCUGCUCCGUUGCCAUGUGUUGGAAGGGCCCCUUCACGCGAUUCCCCGCACCGUCCUCGUUUUCCUGUCUCGCCUGGCUGUAAACCAUCUCCCGUGUUGGCUGCACGCGACAGCGAGUGGCCUGUUAGUCCGGGGUCGCUUCCCACGUCCCCCGUACCCCUUAGCUGUCCGGACAGUUUCGCACCCCUGCGACGGGUUCCGUCCUCACUUACGAGGGGACACAACGAGUCAUCUGUUCCUUUUUCUGUUCUAUGGUCUUCUCGAGGGUCGCUGAAGCCUGCCAUGCCACUGUGGCUGUCUCCGCCGUAGCCCGAGAGUGUGGAGGGCCCUCCCGUAUUUUCUGAGUCUAAGAACCGGCCGGAGAGAGCCAGAGCAGACGGGCUACUUGCAGUGACAGCCGAGCAACCGCUAUCAUGUGGAUGUGAAGCCGCGGACGUGACACACAUGGUUUUCCGCGCUCCAGAGCCCAUGCGAUUCCCCUCACCAGCGCCCUGGGUGCCGCUGCAGCUUCUCGGAGACAGACGACCAGGUUCUGGAGAGAGUGAAGUAGCUUCCGGACCCUUGCCACCUCCUGCAGCACGGUGGCUGCUGUGAGCGGUGGCGAGAAAGGGGGUGAGGCCAGUUGGGGACUCGCCGUUGUCGGGAGCUUCUUCGGUGGCAGAUCGAGCCGCAGCUAAAAGACUGCCUUGGUUCGCAAGAAUAAACUUCUCAAGGUACCACAGGAGAGGGAGAAUGUUCUUUGACCCUUCGCUGCCGCCGAAUUCUUGAGAAGACGCCCAGUCUGAUGCCUUGCUACGACAGUCUCGAAGUGGGGUGAAAGGGGCUGGACCACGAGAGUCUACGGCUCCCGCCUUUCCGGCAGCGGCAGCGCAUUCCUCCGCUGUCCCAGGAGGCGGGGGAUCGUCACAGCUGAGCGGGCCUUUCCAGGCGUGGCUCACGAGGGCUGCUGCUUCCAUGAGUAUCUCGUGAGUCUGGGCGAGACAGUGUAGCUGAUGCUGAACAAGAGCAUUUUUUCCAGCUGUCGCAAACAGCAUUUUCGAGAUCUGAGCAGCCUCGCCACGCAGUGACGCAUCUGUCACCUGCAGCGCGGAUGCCUCGUGCUGAGCCUGUUGCUGAAUGUGCGUCUCCAGUUCCCGCUUUUUGGCUUCAAUGGCCUCAAGCUCGAAGUUCAGCAUGUUCACGUACGUCAUGAUGCUGUAAUUGCGCUCCUCCAACUGAGAGAAAAUGGCUACGAUCUCUUCGGGGUCUGUACGCAUACAAAUGCAAACGGGCUCACAGACCGGUGGCACAUGUCACGAUGCAGUGGCAGACGUUUUGGAUGCUGCACUGUAGACCGUAGCGCGACAAAAGAAAUCGUAAACAUUAGAAAAAUAAAUGUGGACAAAACCCCGUCACAAACAGCACGCCAUGUAUAUUCAGAGACAAACAGGCACGGGUCUAGUCAAGUCAGAAGAAAGCGAGACAGAUAGAAGAUGCGUAUGUGUGAAGUCCGCUGAAUAGACGUGAACCAGAUGUCGUUCUGAAGAGUUGACCAUCCCGGUGCAGCAGACAAAUCUACUGUAAAGCGGAAGCAAAUGUAUUUUCCAUCAGCGCGAUAGAAGCGAAGCUUUCGGGUUGAUGGAUGAGCUCUCGUUUUACGGCAAAAACGAGCUUUACAGCUUGAGCACAGAAUUGCCACGUAACCUGGAGAAAUAGAUAUGCUACGGCGGUAGUCCUCCACCAGGUCACAUCUUGGGGCUACGAAGAGCCCUCUAUGAAUACGAAUGUUUUCCAGGCCAAAUUUCUCUUCUCAACGCAACGCUGGGACAAAGGGCUAUGUGUGACAGCUGAAUAUGGAGUACACAGCUUCCGUGGAAGCUCUCCGUAAUCAAAGCUGAAUGCGUCUGAUGUUCUUACCUGAAAUGCCUGUUGAGGUUUUGAUACUUUCCAUAGCCCGCUCAAAAACUGCAAUUUUUGUCCGGUGUUGUUUGAUACUGUGGCGCUGAACAGCAUUGAGAAGCGCUGUUUUCAAGAUGAGCUUCAUGAGACUCUCUGGGUUGAAAUUUUGCUCUUCUUCAGCGACAUUAUACGGUGUUCCCUUCAUCUGCGCCCGGAGGUUCGAAGAUUCUCUGUGUGCGCGGAUGUCAAACUCUUUGAUCAGACGAUCCUAGAACAGGACACGACUCGUACAUCAGGUGUUCCGCUUCUGGAAGACUGCGGUAUAUCCCAU